rnacentral:rRNA from 1 species
UCAGGAUGAACGCUGGCGGCGUGCCUAAUACAUGCAAGUCGAGCGAACGGACGAGAAGCUUGCUUCUCUGAUGUUAGCGGCGGACGGGUGAGUAACACGUGGAUAACCUACCUAUAAGACUGGGAUAACUUCGGGAAACCGGAGCUAAUACCGGAUAAUAUUUUGAACCGCAUGGUUCAAAAGUGAAAGACGGUCUUGCUGUCACUUAUAGAUGGAUCCGCGCUGCAUUAGCUAGUUGGUAAGGUAACGGCUUACCAAGGCAACGAUGCAUAGCCGACCUGAGAGGGUGAUCGGCCACACUGGAACUGAGACACGGUCCAGACUCCUACGGGAGGCAGCAGUAGGGAAUCUUCCGCAAUGGGCGAAAGCCUGACGGAGCAACGCCGCGUGAGUGAUGAAGGUCUUCGGAUCGUAAAACUCUGUUAUUAGGGAAGAACAUAUGUGUAAGUAACUGUGCACAUCUUGACGGUACCUAAUCAGAAAGCCACGGCUAACUACGUGCCAGCAGCCGCGGUAAUACGUAGGUGGCAAGCGUUAUCCGGAAUUAUUGGGCGUAAAGCGCGCGUAGGCGGUUUUUUAAGUCUGAUGUGAAAGCCCACGGCUCAACCGUGGAGGGUCAUUGGAAACUGGAAAACUUGAGUGCAGAAGAGGAAAGUGGAAUUCCAUGUGUAGCGGUGAAAUGCGCAGAGAUAUGGAGGAACACCAGUGGCGAAGGCGACUUUCUGGUCUGUAACUGACGCUGAUGUGCGAAAGCGUGGGGAUCAAACAGGAUUAGAUACCCUGGUAGUCCACGCCGUAAACGAUGAGUGCUAAGUGUUAGGGGGUUUCCGCCCCUUAGUGCUGCAGCUAACGCAUUAAGCACUCCGCCUGGGGAGUACGACCGCAAGGUUGAAACUCAAAGGAAUUGACGGGGACCCGCACAAGCGGUGGAGCAUGUGGUUUAAUUCGAAGCAACGCGAAGAACCUUACCAAAUCUUGACAUCCUUUGACAACUCUAGAGAUAGAGCCUUCCCCUUCGGGGGACAAAGUGACAGGUGGUGCAUGGUUGUCGUCAGCUCGUGUCGUGAGAUGUUGGGUUAAGUCCCGCAACGAGCGCAACCCUUAAGCUUAGUUGCCAUCAUUAAGUUGGGCACUCUAAGUUGACUGCCGGUGACAAACCGGAGGAAGGUGGGGAUGACGUCAAAUCAUCAUGCCCCUUAUGAUUUGGGCUACACACGUGCUACAAUGGACAAUACAAAGGGCAGCGAAACCGCGAGGUCAAGCAAAUCCCAUAAAGUUGUUCUCAGUUCGGAUUGUAGUCUGCAACUCGACUACAUGAAGCUGGAAUCGCUAGUAAUCGUAGAUCAGCAUGCUACGGUGAAUACGUUCCCGGGUCUUGUACACACCGCCCGUCACACCACGAGAGUUUGUAACACCCGAAGCCGGUGGAGUAACCUUUUAGGAGCUAGCCGUCGAAGUGGACAAUGAUUGGGUGA